rnacentral:ncRNA from 1 species
CAUGAUUAGCCUAGCUAGGAUUGUUUAGAGGGUAGCCGCAGUCGCCCCAACUCCAACUUACAAAAUAAUUUUGUUUUGUAAGUAGGGUGAGAAACAACUUUUGUUGGAAACUUUAAUCUUUUUAAGAGAUUAGAGAACUGU